UACGAAGGGGGCUAGCGUUGUUCGGAAUUACUGGGCGUAAAGCGCGCGCAGGCGGUCUUCCAAGUCAGUGGUGAAAGCCCGGAGCUCAACUCCGGAACUGCCAUUGAAACCGUAAGACUUGAGGAUGAGAGAGGUGAGUGGAAUUCCCAGUGUAGAGGUGAAAUUCGUAGAUAUUGGGAAGAACACCGGUGGCGAAGGCGGCUCACUGGCUCAUAUCUGACGCUCAGGCGCGACAGCGUGGGGAUCAAACAGG
rnacentral:rRNA from 1 species